rnacentral:rRNA from 1 species
GUCGUUAACGAACGAGACCUUAACCUGCUAAAUAGGAACAAGCGACACAUUAGGGCGGAUUAAUACGGAUCAUAUUAAGCGUCGCUUCGUGCGGCGUGGACGUAUGACACCGGUUAUCCGUUCGUCCUUGGCCUACUUCUUAGAGGGACUGCCGGUGUUGCAACCGGAGGAAGUUUGAGGCAAUAACAGGUCUGUGAUGCCCUUAGAUGUUCUGGGCCGCACGCGCGCUACACUGACGGAGCCAGCGAGUACUGGCGCAAGCCUUCCUUAGCCGAAAGGUUCGGGUAAUCUUGGGAAACUCCGUCGUGCUGGGGAUAGUCCUUUGCAAUUAUCGGACUUGAACGAGGAAUUCCUAGUAAGCGCGGUUCAUCAGAUCGCGUUGAUUACGUCCCUGCCCUUUGUACACACCGCCCGUCGCUAGUACCGAUUGAAUGGAUA